AGAGUUUGAUCCUGGCUCAGGAUGAACGCUGGCGGCGUGCCUAAUACAUGCAAGUCGAGCGAACGGACGAGAAGCUUGCUUCUCUGAUGUUAGCGGCGGACGGGUGAGUAACACGUGGAUAACCUACCUAUAAGACUGGGAUAACUUCGGGAAACCGGAGCUAAUACCGGAUAAUAUUUUGAACCGCAUGGUUCAAAAGUGAAAGACGGUCUUGCUGUCACUUAUAGAUGGAUCCGCGCUGCAUUAGCUAGUUGGUAAGGUAACGGCUUACCAAGGCAACGAUGCAUAGCCGACCUGAGAGGGUGAUCGGCCACACUGGAACUGAGACACGGUCCAGACUCCUACGGGAGGCAGCAGUAGGGAAUCUUCCGCAAUGGGCGAAAGCCUGACGGAGCAACGCCGCGUGAGUGAUGAAGGUCUUCGGAUCGUAAAACUCUGUUAUUAGGGAAGAACAUAUGUGUAAGUAACUGUGCACAUCUUGACGGUACCUAAUCAGAAAGCCACGGCUAACUACGUGCCAGCAGCCGCGGUAAUACGUAGGUGGCAAGCGUUAUCCGGAAUUAUUGGGCGUAAAGCGCGCGUAGGCGGUUUUUUAAGUCUGAUGUGAAAGCCCACGGCUCAACCGUGGAGGGUCAUUGGAAACUGGAAAACUUGAGUGCAGAAGAGGAAAGUGGAAUUCCAUGUGUAGCGGUGAAAUGCGCAGAGAUAUGGAGGAACACCAGUGGCGAAGGCGACUUUCUGGUCUGUAACUGACGCUGAUGUGCGAAAGCGUGGGGAUCAAACAGGAUUAGAUACCCUGGUAGUCCACGCCGUAAACGAUGAGUGCUAAGUGUUAGGGGGUUUCCGCCCCUUAGUGCUGCAGCUAACGCAUUAAGCACUCCGCCUGGGGAGUACGACCGCAAGGUUGAAACUCAAAGGAAUUGACGGGGACCCGCACAAGCGGUGGAGCAUGUGGUUUAAUUCGAAGCAACGCGAAGAACCUUACCAAAUCUUGACAUCCUUUGACAACUCUAGAGAUAGAGCCUUCCCCUUCGGGGGACAAAGUGACAGGUGGUGCAUGGUUGUCGUCAGCUCGUGUCGUGAGAUGUUGGGUUAAGUCCCGCAACGAGCGCAACCCUUAAGCUUAGUUGCCAUCAUUAAGUUGGGC
rnacentral:rRNA from 3 species